UACGGGGGGGGGCAAGCGUUGUUCGGAAUUACUGGGCGUAAAGGGCUCGUAGGCGGCCAACUAAGUCAGACGUGAAAUCCCUCGGCUUAACCGGGGAACUGCGUCUGAUACUGGAUGGCUUGAGGUUGGGAGAGGGAUGCGGAAUUCCAGGUGUAGCGGUGAAAUGCGUAGAUAUCUGGAGGAACACCGGUGGCGAAGGCGGCCUGCUGGGCAGUUGCUGACACUGAGGCGCGACAGCGUGGGAGCAAACAGG
rnacentral:rRNA from 1 species